rnacentral:rRNA from 1 species
GACGAACCGUGCGAACGUUGUUCGGAAUCACUGGGCUUAAAGGGCGCGUAGGCGGGCCCGCAAGUCAGGGGUGAAAUCCCACGGCUCAACCGUGGAAGUGCCUUUGAUACUGCGGGCCUUGAGGGAGGUAGGGCGUGCGGAACUUCCGGUGGAGCGGUGAAAUGCGUAGAUAUCGGAAGGAACACCGGUGGCGAAAGCGGCGCGCUGGACCUCUACUGACGCUGAGGCGCGAAAGCCAGGG